AAAAAAACAAACUCUGAGUUUCCGUGUCCAACGUUUGAUCAUCCGUCUUAUUUGAAAAAAUCAAAAAGACAAGUCACAUAUAAAGUAUUAAUCAUGUUUUACCACCUAACAACAAUGAAAAUACUAAUUAUAAAAAAAUUCAUAUAAGACGGAUAAUCAAAUGUUGAAUACGGAAACCCAGGUUUAUCUUUUUU
rfam:Oryza nivara chromosome 3, whole genome shotgun sequence.